rnacentral:rRNA from 1 species
GACGAACGCUGGCGGCGUGCUUAACACAUGCAAGUCGAACGAUGAAGCCGGAGCUUGCUCUGGUGAAUUAGUGGCGAACGGGUGAGUAACACGUGAGUAACCUGCCCUUGACUCUGGGAUAACUGCUAGAAAUGGUAGCUAAUACCGGAUACGACCCUCGGAGGCAUCUCCAGGGGGUGGAAAGAAUUUCGGUCAAGGAUGGACUCGCGGCCUAUCAGCUAGUUGGUGAGGUAAUGGCUCACCAAGGCGACGACGGGUAGCCGGCCUGAGAGGGUGACCGGCCAUACUGGGACUGAGACACGGCCCAGACUCCUACGGGAGGCAGCAGUGAGGAAUAUUGCACAAUGGGCGCAAGCCUGAUGCAGCAACGCCGCGUGAGGGAUGACGGCCUUCGGGUUGUAAACCUCUUUUAGUAGGGAAGAAGCGAAAGUGACGGUACCUGCAGAAAAAGCACCGGCUAACUACGUGCAGCAGCCGCCGUAA